AGCUGAUCCAGCCAUGCCGCGUGUGUGAAGAAGGUCUUCGGAUUGUAAAGCACUUUAACCUGGGAGGAAGGGCAGUAAGUUAAUACCUUGCUGUUUUGACGUUACCGACAGAAUAAGCACCGGCUAACUUCGUGCCAGCAGCCGCGGUAAUACGAAGGGUGCAAGCGUUAAUCGGAAUUACUGGGCGUAAAGCGCGCGUAGGUGGUUUGUUAAGUUGGAUGUGAAAGCCCCGGGCUCAACCUGGGAACUGCAUCCAAAACUGGCAAGCUAGAGUAUGGCAGAGGGUGGUGGAAUUUCCUGUGUAGCGGUGAAAUGCGUAGAUAUAGGAAGGAACACCAGUGGCGAAGGCGACCACCUGGGCUAAUACUGACACUGAGGUGCGAAAGCGUGGGGAGCAAACAGGAUUAGAUACCCCAGUAGUCA
rnacentral:rRNA from 1 species